GAUGAAGAACGUAGCGAAAUGCGAUACGUAAUGUGAAUUGCAGAAUUCAGAGAAUCAUCGAGUCUUUGAACGCACAUUGCGCCCCCUGGUAUUCCGGGGGGCAUGCCUGUCCGAGCGUCAUUGCUGCCCUCAAGCACGGCUUGUGUGUUGGGCCUCCGUCCUCCUCCCGGGGGACGGGCCCGAAAGGCAGCGGCGGCACCGCGUCCGGUCCUCGAGCGUAUGGGGCUUCGUCACCCGCUCUUGUAGGCCCGGCCGGCGCUUGCCGACACAUCAAUCUUUUUUCCAGGUUGACCUCGGAUCAGGUAGGGAUACCCGCUGAACUUAAGCAUAUCAAUAAGCGGAGGA
rnacentral:misc_RNA from 1 species